UUUUUCAGGUAUUGCUGAAACCGCAUUAAAUGAAAUUCCAAAAGCAACAUUUUUGGAGGACCUAAUAAAUCAUAUCGGCAUUGAAACUUUCCAGUUAGCAAUUGAACUCGAUUUUGAUAUACCAGACAUUGAAAUAAUUCGUUUCGAAUCCGAUUGUAACUUAAGAAGUCAAACUCGAAAAAUUUUGAAGCGUUGGAUUUGUCGAGACGGUGCUUCUGUACGUUCUCUUGUUGAAGCAUUGAACCACCUACAGAGAGGAAUGGACUGUGUAUACAAACAUUACAGCGAAUGAAACUAAUUUGGUUUGCAAAUUAAAUAGAAAAAACAAUUUCAAGCAGGUUUUUAUCUGCUUAUGCAUGUUAUAUAUUUUUGAGAAAUAAAUGGAAUAAUUGUUCAACUGGUGUUAGGCUGUCCUUUUAUUUUGUUAACUGUUUCAAAGAUAUUUGCGAAUUAGCAUACACUUGAAAUGUUUUCAUAGUUAUCUUACCUCCUAUACAUUUCUAGGAAUAUGAUUGGUUAAAAGCGUCCUCGUGGAAACCGUGUAUAUUUAGUAUAAGGUUAGUUGGGAGGCGGGGCUUAUUUCAUACACGGUUAGUAGUGGAGUUAUGUCCCUUUAUAUACCAUAUAAGGUAAUAAGGAGGCGGGGCUUAUUUCAUACACGGGUAGUAUUGGUGUUACGUCCCUUUAGAAAAAAAACAGUACUGAGAAAAAAUCUUAAAGGUUUCAACAGACGAAGAAAGUGAUGAUAAAGUGAAAUAAAUUCAUAAAACACAUUUAAAUCUAACAAGUUGUCAUUGUUGGCAUCUGUUUUUGUAGGAUCAAAGGAAGUAGUUUCUUAAUCAUGUAACAUGUUAAUGCUAACUGUAUUGAAGACUUGCUCAUUUUGAUAGGUCACUAGUCUAGAUUUUACAAGUUAAAAUA
rnacentral:lncRNA from 1 species